CUGUUAUGUUCUGUGUUUUGUGUUGUCCUUCUGUGUGGACCCCAGGAAGAUUAGCUCAUCACCUUGGUGGCAGCUAAUGGAGAUCCUUUUAAACAUUAAACAUCACCAGUUAUUAAACAUUUUAGAUCAAUAGAUGAUUUU